rnacentral:rRNA from 1 species
GAAGGCCUUCGGGUUGUAAAGCUCUUUUGCUAGGGAAGAAAACGUGUGGUCUAAUAUCCUGCGCGGAUGACGGUACCUUGACAAUAAGCACCGGCUAACUACGUGCCAGCAGCCGCGGUAAUACGUAGGGUGCGAGCGUUAAUCGGAAUUACUGGGCGUAAAGCGUGCGCAGGCGGUUGUGUAAGACAGGUGUGAAAUCCCCGGGCUCAACCUGGGAACUGCGCUUGAGACUGCACGGCUAGAGUACGGAAGAGGGGGGUGGAAUUCCUGGUGUAACAGUGAAAUGCGUAAAUAUCAGGAGGAACACCGAUGGCGAAGGCAGCCCCCUGGACCUGUACUGACGCUCAUGCACGAAAGCGUGGGGAGCAAACAGGAUUAGAUACCCUGGUAGUCCACGCCCUAAACGAUGUCAACUGGUUGUUCGUAGAGGUAACUCUGUGAGUAACGCAGCUAACGCGUGAAGUUGACCGCCUGGGGAGUACGGCCGCAAGGUUAAAACUCAAAUGAAUUGACGG